CACGUAGGGGGCAAGCGUUGUCCGGAUUUAUUGGGCGUAAAGAGCUCGUAGGCGGUUCGGUAAGUCGGGUGUGAAACCCCCAGGCUCAACCUGGGGACGCCACCUGAUACUGCUGUGACUCGAGUCCGGUAGGGGAGCGUGGAAUUCCUGGUGUAGCGGUGAAAUGCGCAGAUAUCAGGAGGAACACCAAUAGCGAAGGCAGCUCGCUGGGACGGUACUGACGCUGAGGUGCGAAAGCGUGGGGAGCAAACAGG
rnacentral:rRNA from 1 species